AUUGAACGCUGGCGGCAGGCCUAACACAUGCAAGUCGCACGAGUGGCGGACGGGUGCGUAAUGUCUGGGAAACUGCCUGAUGGAGGGGGAUAACUACUGGAAACGGUAGCUAAUACCGCAUACCAUCGGAUGUGCCCCGAUGGGAUUCGCUAGUGGGUGGGGUAACGGCUCACCUAGGCGACGAUCCCUAGCUGGGCUGAGAGGAUGACCAGCCACACGUGAACUGAGACACGGUCCAGACUCCUACGGGAGGCAGCAGUGGGGAAUAUUGUACAAUGGGCGCAAGCCUGAUGCAGCCAUGCCGCGUGUGUGAAGAAGGCCUUCGGGUUGUAAAGCACUUUCAGCGGGGAGGCGUUACCCGCAGAAGAAGCACCGGCUAACUCCGUGCCAGCAGCCGCGGUAAUAC
rnacentral:rRNA from 1 species